CACUAUCGUUAACUGAAUACAUAGGUUAACGAGGCGAACCGGGGGAACUGAAACAUCUAAGUACCCCGAGGAAAAGAAAUCAACCGAGAUUCCCCCAGUAGCGGCGAGCGAACGGGGAGCAGCCCAGAGUCUGAAUCAGCUUGUGUGUUAGUGGAACGGUCUGGAAAGUCCGACGGUACAGGGUGAUAGUCCCGUACACCAAAAUGCACAGGCUGUGAACUCGAAGAGUAGGGCGGGACACGUGGUAUCCUGUCUGAAUAUGGGGGGACCAUCCUCCAAGGCUAAAUACUCCUGACUGACCGAUAGUGAACCAGUACCGUGAGGGAAAGGCGAAAAGAACCCCGGCGAGGGGAGUGAAAAAGAACCUGAAACCGUGUACGUACAAGCAGUGGGAGCACCUUCGGGUGUGACUGCGUACCUUUUGUAUAAUGGGUCAGCGACUUAUAUUCUGUAGCAAGGUUAACCGUAUAGGGGAGCCGCAGGGAAACCGAGUCUUAACUGGGCGUUAAGUUGCAGGGUAUAGACCCGAAACCCGGUGAUCUAGCCAUGGGCAGGUUGAAGGUUGGGUAACACUAACUGGAGGACCGAACCGACUAAUGUUGAAAAAUUAGCGGAUGACUUGUGGCUGGGGGUGAAAGGCCAAUCAAACCGGGAGAUAGCUGGUUCUCCCCGAAAGCUAUUUAGGUAGCGCCUCGUGAAUUCAUCUUCGGGGGUAGAGCACUGUUUCGGCUAGGGGGUCAUCCCGACUUACCAACCCGAUGCAAACUACGAAUACCGAAGAAUGUUAUCACGGGAGACACACGGCGGGUGCUAACGUCCGUCGUGAAGAGGGAAACAACCCAGACCGCCAGCUAAGGUCCCAAAGUCAUGGUUAAGUGGGAAACGAUGUGGGAAGGCACAGACAGCCAGGAUGUUGGCUUAGAAGCAGCCAUCAUUUAAAGAAAGCGUAAUAGCUCACUGGUCGAGUCGGCCUGCGCGGAAGAUGUAACGGGGCUAAACCAUGCACCGAAGCUGCGGCAGCGACACUAUGUGUUGUUGGGUAGGGGAGCGUUCUGUAAGCCUGCGAAGGUGACCUGUGAGGGUUGCUGGAGGUAUCAGAAGUGCGAAUGCUGACAUAAGUAACGAUAAAGCGGGUGAAAAGCCCGCUCGCCGGAAGACCAAGGGUUCCUGUCCAACGUUAAUCGGGGCAGGGUGAGUCGACCCCUAAGGCGAGGCCGAAAGGCGUAGUCGAUGGGAAACAGGUUAAUAUUCCUGUACUUGGUGUUACUGCGAAGGGGGGACGGAGAAGGCUAUGUUAGCCGGGCGACGGUUGUCCCGGUUUAAGCAUGUAGGCUGGUUGUCCAGGCAAAUCCGGAUAAUCAAGGCUGAGGUGUGAUGACGAGGCACUACGGUGCUGAAGUAACAAAUGCCCUGCUUCCAGGAAAAGCCUCUAAGCAUCAGGUAACAUUAAAUCGUACCCCAAACCGACACAGGUGGUCAGGUAGAGAAUACCAAGGCGCUUGAGAGAACUCGGGUGAAGGAACUAGGCAAAAUGGUGCCGUAACUUCGGGAGAAGGCACGCUGGUGUGUAGGUGAAGUCCCUGCGGAUGGAGCUGAGACCAGUCGAAGAUACCAGCUGGCUGCAACUGUUUAUUAAAAACACAGCACUGUGCAAACACGAAAGUGGACGUAUACGGUGUGACGCCUGCCCGGUGCCGGAAGGUUAAUUGAUGGGGUUAUCCGUAAGGAGAAGCUCUUGAUCGAAGCCCCGGUAAACGGCGGCCGUAACUAUAACGGUCCUAAGGUAGCGAAAUUCCUUGUCGGGUAAGUUCCGACCUGCACGAAUGGCGUAAUGAUGGCCAGGCUGUCUCCACCCGAGACUCAGUGAAAUUGAACUCGCUGUGAAGAUGCAGUGUACCCGCGGCAAGACGGAAAGACCCCGUGAACCUUUACUAUAGCUUGACACUGAACAUUGAGCCUUGAUGUGUAGGAUAGGUGGGAGGCUUUGAAGCGUGGACGCCAGUCUGCGUGGAGCCAACCUUGAAAUACCACCCUUUAAUGUUUGAUGUUCUAACGUUGGCCCCUUACCGGGGUUGCGGACAGUGUCUGGUGGGUAGUUUGACUGGGGCGGUCUCCUCCCAAAGCGUAACGGAGGAGCACGAAGGUUAGCUAAUCCUGGUCGGACAUCAGGAGGUUAGUGCAAUGGCAUAAGCUAGCUUGACUGCGAGCGUGACGGCGCGAGCAGGUGCGAAAGCAGGUCAUAGUGAUCCGGUGGUUCUGAAUGGAAGGGCCAUCGCUCAACGGAUAAAAGGUACUCCGGGGAUAACAGGCUGAUACCGCCCAAGAGUUCAUAUCGACGGCGGUGUUUGGCACCUCGAUGUCGGCUCAUCACAUCCUGGGGCUGAAGUAGGUCCCAAGGGUAUGGCUGUUCGCCAUUUAAAGUGGUACGCGAGCUGGGUUUAGAACGUCGUGAGACAGUUCGGUCCCUAUCUGCCGUGGGCGCUGGAGAAUUGAGGGGGGCUGCUCCUAGUACGAGAGGACCGGAGUGGACGCAUCACUGGUGUUCGGGUUGUCAUGCCAAUGGCACUGCCCGGUAGCUAAAUGCGGAAGAGAUAAGUGCUGAAAGCAUCUAAGCACGAAACUUGCCCCGAGAUGAGUUCUCCCUGAGACUUUAAGUCUCCUGAAGGAACGUU
rnacentral:rRNA from 1 species